rnacentral:lncRNA from 1 species
GAAUUUGUGUGGUUCUCCUAUUGGUUCGAUAAACUUGGUUCUCACUGAGGGAAAGACGUAGAUCUAAUGUGCUACAUCUCCUCUCCUCUUUGGGGGAAACUCCAAUGCAUUUUACAAGUAGCACAAAGAAAUACUGGCGAUGUUGGCGGGGAGACAUCAUCAAAUUCUUUUCAAAGUUCCUUCAAACAAAUUAUCAUUCACUUGUUCUACUUUUUAUUUUCCUUUAUCUUUGUUUGCCUAAAAAUAUAAAAAACACAAAAAUGUUUUUAUUUGCUAGUUUACUUGUUUGCUCUCUUUACUCCCGAGAUCACUUGCAUUGCUUGUUUGAAGUUGCCAUCAUGUGUUAGUUUUCAUUGAAAAAAGUGAGGAUGGAAAAACCUAAGGAGGAAAUUCCCACAAAUCUAGAUAUAACAAAUGUGUUGCCGAAAAGGGGCAUUUCAUAGGGAAAAUCAUUAUUCAAGAGUUAUUUAAUUGUAUGGGUACUUUGGUUUGCGAUGACAUGCCUAUUCUUACAAGAACCCAUAGCUAUGCCGACACUAGUUCAACGCUUGGCUUUAAACAUGAAAGAAGAUUCAUGCACACUCAUCCCACUUUGAAAAGGAUUUUCUAUGAAUUACCAUUUAUAAAUAACCCUCGGGCUAAGAAGAUAGACACUUUUAUCCUCAUGAAUGAAUUUGAUAAUAUAGUGUGAGAGGCACGAGAGAUCUUUCAUUUCUAUAAUAUGAGUCAUGAACAUCCUUUGAUAGAUGAAAUUUUAUAUAAUGAGGAUUAUAUGAUGAGGUAUAUGUUUUUUGAUAAUCAUACUUUUGAUGAAAACACUAAGAAGGAAGUUCCUCCUAUACAUAUUAUCCAACAUGUUUUCAAUGGUAUUAAUCAACAAUAUUCUUGGAUAGUGAACGAGAACCAAGAAGGGUUCAAAAAUGGUAGCAUCAAGAAAUUUAAGCUUUUAAUAGAUUAUGUGUUAAACAUUGUAUUUUAAAAAAUAUUCCCAAAGAACACACAUCUCAAGGUGCAAAAAACAAGGAUGUUAACACUUGAUACUAUGCAUUAUGCCUAGCUAGGGGCGUAAAACGAUAGCGCUUGUUGGAGGAAACCCAACACUUAUACUAUCUGCUAUUUUGUGUUCACAUGAUUAUUUAUACUAUAAUGAUUGCAUUUUUAUUUUUAAAUUAGUUUUUGUUCAAAGUAAAGCCUUUGGUAUGAUUUGAAAGGUAGUAGAUUUUAUCCUAUGCAAAAACAGAAACUUUUAUGUCCAGUGCAUAAAUUCUUGAUUUUACUGUAACGUCUUUUUGAUCUGAAUUCUUUACACACCGUUGUUAUACAAAUUUCCCAGACUUUCCUAAUUUUUCAGAAUUUCCAGAGUUAGAAAAGUAUAGUUCUAGUGGUGAUCAUUACAGACUAUUCUUAUUUAGUCAUAUUCUGUUUUUGCCUGCAUAGUUUGCUUGUUUUGAUGAUGCUAUGGAUUAUAUUGGGGAUUAUAAAUCAUGAGAAGUUAGAAUAAAAUACUAUAUUCAAUAAUUAAAUAUGAAUCAAUUUAUAAGUGUGUCUAAAGUUUAUGAUUUGCCUAUUAUACCAAGAGAUCUCACGAGGCUGUUGUUGAGUUUUGUGUGCUGAAGUUUUCAAGUUUUGGUUGUGGUCAAGAUCGAUGAAGGAAUAAGGAGGAGCAAGACCCUAAGCUUGGGGAUUCCCAAGGCACCCCAAGGUAAUAUCCUAGGAAGUCUCAAGCGUCUAAGCUUGGGGAUGUCCCGAAAGGCAUCCCCUCUUUCAUCUCCAUUCCAUCGGUAUUUCACUUGGAGCUAUAUUUAUUCAUCACAUGAUAUGUGUAUUGCUUGGAGCGUCGUGUAUUAUAGUUU